GACGAACGCUGGCGGCGUGCUUAACACAUGCAAGUCGAACGCAGUGGCGAACGGGUGAGUAACGCGUAAUCAACCUGCCCUUCAGAGGGGGAUAACAGUUGGAAACGACUGCUAAUACCCCAUACUGAAGGAGGGGUUUGCGUCUGAUUAGCUAGUUGGAGGGGUAACGGCCCACCAAGGCGAUGUGCAGUAGCCGGUCUGAGAGGAUGAACGGCCACAAUGGGACUGGGACACGGCCCAGACUCCUACGGGAAGCAGCAGUGGGGGAACUUCCGGAAUGGACGAAAGGCUGGCGGAGCAACGCCGCGGUAGUGAUGACGGCCUUCGGGUUGUAAAACUCUGUUAAUCGGGACGCGGUACCAAAAUAGAAAGCCACGGCUAACUACGUGCCAGCAGCCGCGGUAAUAC
rnacentral:rRNA from 1 species